rnacentral:rRNA from 1 species
ACGCACGCUGGCGGCGCGCCUAACACCUGCAAGUCGAACGGAGCUGAGAGAAGCUUGCUUUUCUUAGCUUAGUGGCGAACGGGUGAGUAACGCGUGAGUAACCUGCCCUGGAGUGGGGGACAACAGUUGGAAACGACUGCUAAUACCGCAUAAGCCCACGAUCCGGCAUCGGAUUGAGGGAAAAGGAUUUAUUCGCUUCAGGAUGGACUCGCGUCCAAUUAGCUAGUUGGUGAGGUAACGGCCCACCAAGGCGACGAUUGGUAGCCGGACUGAGAGGUUGAACGGCCACAUUGGGACUGAGACACGGCCCAGACUCCUACGGGAGGCAGCAGUGGGGGAUAUUGCACAAUGGGGGAAACCCUGAUGCAGCGACGCCGCGUGGAGGAAGAAGGUUUUCGGAUUGUAAACUCCUGUCGUUAGGGACGAUAAUGACGGUACCUAACAAGAAAGCACCGGCUAACUACGUG